rnacentral:rRNA from 1 species
CCUACGGGUGGCAGCAGUGGGGAAUAUUGGGCAAUGGACGCAAGUCUGACCCAGUAACGCCGCGUGAAGGAAGAAGGCUUUCGGGUUGUAAACUUCUUUUAAGGGGGAAGAGCAGAAGACGGUACCCCUUGAAUAAGCCACGGCUAACUACGUGCCAGCAGCCGCGGUAAUACGUAGGUGGCACGCGUUGUCCGGAUUUACUGGGUGGAAAGGGCGUGCAGCCGGAGGGGCAAGUCAGAUGUGAACUCCGCGGGCUCAAAGCGCGAACUGCAUUUGAAACUGCGUCCGUUUAGGAUCGGAGAGGUAAUCGGAAUUCCUAGUGUAGCGGUGAAAUGCGUAGAUAUUAGGAAGAACACCAGUGGCGAAGGCGGAUUACUGGACGACAACUGACGGUGAGGCGCGAAAGCGUGGGGAGCAAACAGGAUUAGAUACCCUAGUAGUC